rnacentral:rRNA from 1 species
AGCUUAUACAUGCAAGUCGAGCGGACAGAUGGGAGCUUGCUCCCUGAAGUCAGCGGCGGACGGGUGAGUAACACGUGGGCAACCUGCCUGUAAGACUGGGAUAACUCCGGGAAACCGGGGCUAAUACCGGAUAAUUCUUUCCCUCACAUGAGGGAAAGCUGAAAGAUGGUUUCGGCUAUCACUUACAGAUGGGCCCGCGGCGCAUUAGCUAGUUGGUGAGGUAACGGCUCACCAAGGCAACGAUGCGUAGCCGACCUGAGAGGGUGAUCGGCCACACUGGGACUGAGACACGGCCCAGACUCCUACGGGAGGCAGCAGUAGGGAAUCUUCCGCAAUGGACGAAAGUCUGACGGAGCAACGCCGCGUGAGUGAUGAAGGUUUUCGGAUCGUAAAACUCUGUUGUUAGGGAAGAACAAGUACCGGAGUAACUGCCGGUACCUUGACGGUACCUAACCAGAAAGCCACGGCUAACUACGUGCCAGCAGCCGCGGUAAUACGUAGGUGGCAAGCGUUGUCCGGAAUUAUUGGGCGUAAAGCGCGCGCAGGCGGUUCCUUAAGUCUGAUGUGAAAGCCCCCGGCUCAACCGGGGAGGGUCAUUGGAAACUGGGGAACUUGAGUGCAGAAGAGAAGAGUGGAAUUCCACGUGUAGCGGUGAAAUGCGUAGAGAUGUGGAGGAACACCAGUGGCGAAGGCGACUCUUUGGUCUGUAACUGACGCUGAGGCGCGAAAGCGUGGGGAGCAAACAGGAUUAGAUACCCUGGUAGUCCACGCCGUAAACGAUGAGUGCUAAGUGUUAGAGGGUUUCCGCCCUUUAGUGCUGCAGCAAACGCAUUAAGCACUCCGCCUGGGGAGUACGGCCGCAAGGCUGAAACUCAAAAGGAAUUGACGGGGGCCCGCACAAGCGGUGGAGCAUGUGGUUUAAUUUCGAAGCAACGCGAGAACCUUACCAGGUCUUGACAUCUGCUGACACCCUA